UACGUAGGUGGCAAGCGUUGUCCGGAUUUACUGGGCGUAAAGAGCGCGCAGGCGGUCGUUCAAGUCGCGUGUGAAAUCCCCCGGCUCAACCGGGGAAGUGGCGGGGAUACGGCCGGCCUCGAGGGGGGUAGGGGGACCUGGAACUUCCGGUGGAGCGGUGAAAUGCGUUGAGAUCGGAAGGAACGCCCGUGGCGAAAGCGAGGUCCUGGACCCUUUCUGACGCUGAGACGCGAAAGCCAGGGGAGCGAACGGG
rnacentral:rRNA from 1 species